AGCAGCCGCGGUAAUUCCAGCUCCAAUAGCGUAUAUUAAAGUUGUUGCAGUUAAAAAGCUCGUAGUUGAAUUUCGGGAUCAAUAUGUCGGUCGUGCCUUCGGUACGUACUGGUAUCAUUGGUCUCUCCUUUCUGACGAACCAUGAUGUCAUUAAUUUGGUGUUAUGGGGAGUUAGGACUGUUACUUUGAAAAAAUUAGAGUGUUUAAAGCAGGCUUUAGCUUGAAUACAUUAGCAUGGAAUAAUGAAAUAGGACGUUCGAACCUAUUUUGUUGGUUUCUAGGAUCAACGUAAUGAUUAAUAGGGAUAGUUGGGGGCAUUAGUAUUCAAUUGUCAGAGGUGAAAUUCUUGGAUUUAUUGAAGACUAACUACUGCGAAAGCAUUUGCCAAGGAUGUUUUCAUUAAUCAAGAACGAAAGUUAGGGGAUCGAAGACGAUCAGAUACCGUCGUAGUCUUAACCAUAAACUAUGCCGACUAGGGAUCGGAUGAUGUUAAUUUUUUAAUGACUCAUUCGGCGCCUUACGG
rnacentral:rRNA from 1 species